rnacentral:rRNA from 1 species
CCUACGGGUGGCAGCAGUGGGGAAUAUUGGGCAAUGGGCGCAAGCCUGACCCAGCAACGCCGCGUGACGGAAGAAGGCUUUCGGGUUGUAAACUUCUUUUAUCAGGGACGAAGCAAGUGACGGUACCUGAUGAAUAAGCCACGGCUAACUACGUGCCUGCAGCCGCGGUAAUACGUAGGUCGCAAGCGUUAUCCGGCUUUCCUGGGUGUACAGGGCGUGUAGGCGGGAGUGCAAGUCAGAUGUUAAAACUAUGGGCCCAACCCAUAGCCUGCAUGUGAAACUGUACUUCUUGAGUGCUUGAGAGGAACACGGAAUUCCGGGGGGAGCGGUGAAAUGCGGAGAUAUACGGCGGAACACCAGUGGCGAAGGCAGAUUGCUGGACAGUAACUGACGCUGAGGCGCGAAAGCGGGGGGAGCAAACAGGAUUAGAUACCCUUGUAGUC